GCUGAAACUAAUUGAAAGCCAGGUAAAUCGGGUAGUUCUUACAAUUUAAUGAAAAAAUAUAGAUUUCAAUCCAGUCGACUGGUGGCUAGUGCCAUCAAUUCUCGCUCCUUCAUUAAAAAAAUGUACAUUAUUUGUGAAAUCCAAAUCUUUGCGUGCUCUCUUAAUGUGUUGUCAAAACGAAACCAAACAAUCUUAAGAUCUGACAAGAGUGCGGUUCAGUAGGAAAUCAAUGGGAAGCCACUCAAGCAAUGAAUCUGUGGAACUACCGUUUAGCUGCUAUCGAUAAUAGUUCCUCGAAAGAGGCAUUAACUCGAAGUGCAACUGCAAAAUGUGCUGGAAAGGAGCAUACCACUUGAAAAUGCAAAUGCAACGGGAAAUGACCGAAAGACUGAAGGACCACCCAAGUGCCCAUAGGUUGGUUAAGUUUAGUGGGGUAUUCAAUAAACUUCUUAGUAAAAUGUG